UUUAAUAUGGCAGAUUAGUGCAAUGAAUUUAAGAUUCAUAAAUAAAAAUUAAUAAUUUUUUAUUAAAA
rnacentral:tRNA from 1 species